rnacentral:misc_RNA from 1 species
GUUAUGUGACUGUUGCUCCUCACAAGGCACCAACAUGCCUCCUCUCUUUGUCUUAGGUGGCACAUGCAAGUAAGUUAAAAAAAAAAGGCAGGUUGAGUCAGACCAGACCACCAGGCUGAACCACCAUUCUGAUCCGGUCUGGUCUGAUUCAUGGUUCAGGAUGGAAGGGACCAAGACUGGCCCUCCCCAUUGCAGUUCCAAGCCAUGUUGGGUACGUGAACCAGGCAACAGUCUCAGGUCUGGGUUUGACCAUUAUCAACUCUAUUACAUUUUAAAAAUUUCUCUUGGGGUUUUCAAAGAGAUAAAACCCUCAUUUUAGUCCAUUUCUAUUUAAUCUGUUAUUCAAUUCUCUAUUAAUUUAUUUUAUUUGUCUACUAUCUGUUAUGCUAUGUAGAGCUGAAAUAAAAUAGUAUGUUUUAAGCAUCUUAUUACAACCCAUUUUCCCAUACAUCAAUUUCACAUCCACAUCCAUUAUUUAGACCAACACAAAUUAUUUUCAUCCUUCUGUUUCAGUUAUCCCAACCAAAAUUACCUCCAGAACUUUCUUCUUUAUCAUUGAGAGUCAUCAUAUAGUAUCAUUUUUCAUCUUUUCAGGUAUGGGAAAAUAGUUCAAGAUCCCUUGAAGAGGAAAGAGAUUCAGGUUGCAGCAAUUAUAUGUAUGAUAUUUGAUCCUUUUUCACACUUUUCUUUUGCAGACAUGCAUGAUUUGGGGUACUGAAUUUUCAUGUUAUAAUGAUGUGUGUGCUAUUGUAUUCAAGAAUGUACUAAAUCAAACUCAAUAUGAACUUGUUGCUGUUUUGAGAAAAGGAGUUUUCCCCAAACCAACCACAUUGGAUGAGAUACUCAAAGAUGUUUGGAGAUUUAAAAUGAUUGUCAACAAAAGGUAUAGGAGAAGAAUAUAAUGAAAAUGACAAUGUAAUGCUUCUUCAUAUUUCUUCUCAUAAGAUUAAGUUUUUCUCUUCUCAAUGCAAAAAAUGAAAGAAAGCCAUCUUGUUUACGCAGGGAGGCUAUUGUUUAUGCAUUCCUAGUAGCAGCAACUGUUGCAUUUGUAAAGGUGCAAGAAUGUGUAUGUGCACAUGUACAUGACCAUCUGUAAGUAUUAUUGACAACUGUUUUAUGGUAU